CUCGGGUAAUGGAGAUACCCAAGAAUGAGAUAGUGCCCUCUGUGCCAUAGAAUUAGUCUUCUUAAAGAUCCUACAGAUCGCCCAUGAGUCCUGUUUAUGACACCAAGAAGGAGGCCUCUUGGGCAGUGAUGAAUCUGAAAGGGAAGGCAACCUGAACUCGUGCAUCAUCCAGUCAGUUUUGAUUCCUUUGGCAGCUCUUCCUUUGUAGAAGACUAAAGACUUCUUCAGGCCUAUGCAUUUGGUUCCCUCUGAGGAGUAUAUAGGCCUGUCUGUUCCUGUAGCCUUCCAAAAUCCAGCUCCUGUGACUCUGUUUGGCCUGGUGCUGUUCCUAUAUUUCCUGUCCCUCGGACAGUAGAAGUACCAUUCCUUCUCCCCCGUAGUUGCCAGCUCUUCUCGAAGAAAAGACCUCCCCACUUAUUCUUAAGAGAAGACAAACAACUAUACAAAACUGACAACAGAAGAGAAUAUGGAAGAGGAGUUUCUCUUUGCUACAUGUUAUUAUUUGUGAAACCUAAAUUAAAAAUCGAGUUAUUUUGUGUUAUCUUAAAGUCUAGAAAGACAGUUAAAAAGAGAAAGUUCUUUAAACCUGUUUGAGGAUAGGAGAAACUAGUACUAUUGCUCUGGUACCAAAUCUUGACUUAUGACAUGCUUCUACAGAGGUAGCAUUUUCAUUAUAUUGACUGAAAACAACCCUGGAUAAAGAGAUGACAUGAAAGGGUAUAUCUAUUUUGCUGUAGCUGAGUCCUAAACUGAAGUGAACAUUUGCUAAGGAACUUGAGAAAUUUGAAAGAUGAAACCAAACAAGUGAGAUGAUAGAAAACUUAAACCUUGGAACCUGAGAACUGAACUUACUAAAGAUAAAAUAUCUGCAAAAUUUUAAGGAACCGUAGAAAACUGAAGUUCAAGAAUGCUACUUAUAUGACGACUGAAACGAAAAAUCAUCUACUGCUUGGUGCUUUCAGAGUAUGGCAUGAAGAAGAGGGAUAUAAUACUUACACCUUAAAAACAUAAAAAAUAAAAAAGGUGUAUAAUAUCAAAGGAAUUUCGUUUAGUUUUCUAGCAAUCAGAAAAACAGCUGAAAGCAGUGCAAAACCCAGAUUAUAAUGAGAAAGAGGACAAAGAGAUAACGAGAUAUUGAAAAGCCAGGGAAGCUUUCCUUCUAAUAUAAAAGCAAUGAGGAUUUGUUCAGAUAGAUGGUA